rnacentral:rRNA from 1 species
AUUGAACGCUGGCGGCAUGCCUUACACAUGCAAGUCGAACGGUAACGGGCCUUCGGGUGCCGACGAGUGGCGAACGGGUGAGUAAUACAUCGGAACGUGCCCGAUCGUGGGGAUAACGAGGCGAAAGCUUUGCUAAUACCGCAUACGAUCUACGGAUGAAAGCAGGGGACCGCGAGGCCUUGCGCGGACGGAGCGGCCGAUGGCAGAUUAGGUAGUUGGUGGGAUAAAAGCUUACCAAGCCGACGAUCUGUAGCUGGUCUGAGAGGAUGAUCAGCCACACUGGGACUGAGACACGGCCCAGACUCCUACGGGAGGCAGCAGUGGGGAAUGUUGGACAAUGGGCGCAAGCCUGAUCCAGCCAUGCCGCGUGCAGGAUGAAGGCCUUCGGGUUGUAAACUGCUUUUGUACGGAACGAAAAGCCUUCUUUUAAUACAGGAGGGUCAUGACGGUACCGUAAGAAUAAGCACCGGCUAACUACGUG